rnacentral:rRNA from 1 species
CCUACGGGGUGCUGCAGUGGGGAAUAUUGGACAAUGGGCGAAAGCCUGGUCCAGCCAUGCCGCGUGUGUGAAGAAGGCCUUCGGGUUGUAAAGCACUUUCAGUGGGGAAGAAAGCCUUGGGGCUAAUACCCUCGAGGAAGGACAUCACCCACAGAAGAAGCACCGGCUAACUCCGUGCCAGCAGCCGCGGUAAUACGGAGGGUGCGAGCGUUAAUCGGAAUUACUGGGCGUAAAGCGCGCGUAGGCGGUCUGAUAAGCCGGUUGUGAAAGCCCCGGGCUCAACCUGGGAACGGCAUCCGGAACUGUCAGGCUAGAGUGCAGGAGAGGAAGGUAGAAUUCCCGGUGUAGCGGUGAAAUGCGUAGAGAUCGGGAGGAAUACCAGUGGCGAAGGCGGCCUUCUGGUCUGACACUGACGCUGAGGUGCGAAAGCGUGGGUAGCAAACAGGAUUAGAUACCCGUGUAGUC